rnacentral:rRNA from 2 species
CUCCUACGGGAGGCAGCAGUAGGGAAUCUUCCACAAUGGACGCAAGUCUGAUGGAGCAACGCCGCGUGAGUGAAGAAGGCUUUCGGGUCGUAAAACUCUGUUGUUGGAGAAGAAUGGUCGGCAGAGUAACUGUUGUCGGCGUGACGGUAUCCAACCAGAAAGCCACGGCUAACUACGUGCCAGCAGCCGCGGUAAUACGUAGGUGGCAAGCGUUAUCCGGAUUUAUUGGGCGUAAAGCGAGCGCAGGCGGUUUUUUAAGUCUGAUGUGAAAGCCCUCGGCUUAACCGAGGAAGCGCAUCGGAAACUGGGAAACUUGAGUGCAGAAGAGGACAGUGGAACUCCAUGUGUAGCGGUGAAAUGCGUAGAUAUAUGGAAGAACACCAGUGGCGAAGGCGGCUGUCUGGUCUGUAACUGACGCUGAGGCUCGAAAGCAUGGGUAGCGAACAGGAUUAGAUACCCUGGUAGUCCAUGCCGUAAACGAUGAAUGCUAGGUGUUGGAGGGUUUCCGCCCUUCAGUGCCGCAGCUAACGCAUUAAGCAUUCCGCCUGGGGAGUACGACCGCAAGGUUGAAACUCAAAGGAAUUGACGGGGGCCCGCACAAGCGGUGGAGCAUGUGGUUUAAUUCGAAGCAACGCGAAGAACCUUACCAGGUCUUGACAUCUUUUGAUCACCUGAGAGAUCAGGUUUCCCCUUCGGGGGCAAAAUGACAGGUGGUGCAUGGUUGUCGUCAGCUCGUGUCGUGAGAUGUUGGGUUAAGUCCCGCAACGAGCGCAACCCUUAUGACUAGUUGCCAGCAUUUAGUUGGGCACUCUAGUAAGACUGCCGGUGACAAACCGGAGGAAGGUGGGGAUGACGUCAAAUCAUCAUGCCCCUUAUGACCUGGGCUACACACGUGCUACAAUGGAUGGUACAACGAGUUGCGAGACCGCGAGGUCAAGCUAAUCUCUUAAAGCCAUUCUCAGUUCGGACUGUAGGCUGCAACUCGCCUACACGAAGUCGGAAUCGCUAGUAAUCGCGGAUCAGCACGCCGCGGUGAAUACGUUCCCGGGCCUUGUACACACCGCCCGUCACACCAUGAGAGUUUGUAACACCCGAAGCCGGUGGCGUAACCCUUUUAGGGAGCGAGCCGUCUAAGGUGGGACAAAUGAUUAGGGUGAAGUCGUAACAAGGU